rnacentral:rRNA from 1 species
UACGGGGGGGCAAGCGGUUGUUCGGAAUUACUGGGCGUAAAGGGCUCGGUAGGCGGCCAACUAAGUCGGAUGUGAAAUCCCAGGCCUCAACCUGGGAACUGCAUCCGAUACUGCCUGGCUUGAGUUCGGGAGAGGAAGCGGAAUUCCGGGUGUAGCGGUGAAAUGCGUAGAUAUCGGAGGAACACCGGUGGCGAAGGCGGUUGGCUGGGCAGGUGCUGA